rnacentral:rRNA from 1 species
GGGGGGGGGGGGGGGGGGGCGGGGGGGGGGGGGGGGGGGCGCGGGAGGGGGAGCUGGCUUCUCGGGAGGAGUUGCGAACGGGUGAGUAACGCGUAGGGAACCUGCCUGGUAGCGGGGGAUAACUAUUGGAAACGAUAGCUAAUACCGCAUAAUAGUAGAUGUUGCAUGACAUUUGCUUAAAAGGUGCAAUUGCAUCACUACCAGAUGGACCUGCGUUGUAUUAGCUAGUUGGUGGGGUAACGGCUCACCAAGGCGACGGUACAUAGCCGACCUGAGAGGGUGAUCGGCCACACUGGGACUGAGACACGGCCCAGACUCCUACGGGAGGCAGCAGUAGGGAAUCUUCGGCAAUGGACGGAAGUCUGACCGAGCAACGCCGCGUGAGUGAAGAAGGUUUUCGGAUCGUAAAGCUCUGUUGUAAGAGAAGAACGAGUGUGAGAGUGGAAAGUUCACACUGUGACGGUAUCUUACCAGAAAGGGACGGCUAACUACGUG